CUUCCACGAGGAUUGCUACCAACGGUCAAAGAUAGUUCGCUGCAGGAUAAAGAGCUCAAACGUGUGGAAACUCCGUCCUCAUUUUCAGUAAAAGAUUUUGUGGUGUAUAAGAAUGAACAAUGAACGUGCCUUGCCUUGUGGACUAAACUGUGCACGGUGGGAUAACAAGGCCACUCUCCUAUUUCAUCCAGCAAACUUUCCCUCUUUCUCUUACCUCACAUCGGGCAACGGAUACACGGACCUGAAACGCGAUAAGAUAGAAUACAAGGAGAGUGCAGCUUCGGUGACAGCUGUGCAAGUGCUGUGUGACGGCCGCUAAACCAGCACCAAGGGAACAAAACAAGCACUGUAAGCCCUCACCACAACCCUCCAUACUGCCUAGUCAUCAUCUAUUAAAGGUUGACGUGUAGAUAUAAGCAAUAGAAGGAAGAAGAAGAAGAAGAAGAAGAAGAAGAAGAAGAAGAAGAAGAAACGGAGGAACACGACGAAGAAGAAAUGAGAAAUGAAGGUGGAAUAGAAGCAGCAGCCAAGGUGUAAUAUUUAGACCUGCAGACGACCCCCGCACGGAAGAGCAACGACUUGUGUGCCUCAGACCGUCAGUUCUCCUACUGCAGUGUCAAUGGGAUCCCGAAGCAGCGCAUGUGUGACGGCUUCAGUGACUGCAGUAACGGAGAGGAUCAGUUUGUGCAGGUGUGUGGCGAGUGCCGGGAUCAGAAUGUCGGGUGUGAGCGACUGUGCAUGAAUACUCGAGUCAUUCUACCGCCAGUGGCUGCCAGGAUACAGACUCAUCAGGAAGUUCAACUGUGAAUGUGAGGCUUGCCUUGACUGUCACUGUCACUCUGCGGUCUUCCUUCUUAAACUUCUCAGCCCUUCACUUCUACAUUUAGCAGCAGCCUAAAGAAAUGUUGACGAGUGUGUGGAGUCGUCCAGAUCGUCUCCCUGAGGGACAAUCUCCUCAACAGUGUUCGAUCCGCCCAGCAGCAGCAACGGUCAGGACAAGACGGCCACUGAAGUGUCAAGCCCCGAAGCUGGCAUGGUGCUGGGUGUUGUGCUGGGCUCCUUGGGGUUCUUUGCCUUGCUGUUGGGAUGUUAGUCGGGUUCCUGAACAUGCGUCGUCGUGUUAUCAUCCACGCAAGUUUCCCCAACCCAGCCAGUGUACCACAAAACAGUCACUGAGGAGGACGGGAGCGAGCUACUGCAUGCACCAUUGAACAGGACGGCAUUAUAUUCGUCCCACAGGAAUAUGAUUGAAGCGAAGCAAGCCCAAAAUAAAGUGUUGAGUGACCAUGAUGAUUCAGGACUACUAACACCAAAGAAGUGAGGAAAGUGUUUGCAGUGAGCGUGAAAGACAUACAACAGACGUGAGACUGUAAAUGCCGGUGUAGCCAAACGAACAAGAGGAGCAAGAGGAGGAGGAGGAUGAAGAGGGUGAUUCUUGGAGACCUACCAAUGAUGUUCUUAAGGUUGGCCACGAAUCUUCAUCACUGGUGUAGUGUGUUUCAUAGACCAAUUGUAGAUUGGGUGGAUAAAUUUUUAGAUAUUGUAAACAGCUCUAGAUGUGUAGUGGGUAAGGUUUUUUGCAAUGUUUUGUGUACACCAGCAGAAAACAGUGAUAUGUAGAAGUUGUGCAUAGCAUUGUGAUAGAAAUGUACAGUGUUCAUGUGUAUACAGUAUUAUAUAUAAUAUUUAAGAGAGAAGUGUAGACCAAGAGAGGAAAAUAACCUUGGGACACGAGUCCUAUGCUCAUUACUCAUCAUUCCUGUCACCCAUCAUGAUCGAUUAUGCCUUAAGGACCAAAUGACUAACGUGUUCAGUACAUGCUGGAAUUCACCAUGGAGAAACACGUACUGAAGGUAACGUUCCUUGUUGAGAGACGCCAUCUAUGUAACGGACUGUAGCGAGCAUGCUGGCUAGUCACACAUCAACCAUGCGUCGCGGUGGAUGACACGAUGCGUCUUGCUGCCAAGCCAUGACAGUAAAUUAGUACCAAGUAGUAGUAGUUAAGGGUAGUAGUAGUAGUGGAGUUUUCUCACCCUAUUGCAAGGUGUGAUGUCGACUUGGCUCUGUCUUUAGUGAUCACAAGAACCUGUUCCUUCUUGUGUCUCGAAGAUAGACCACAAAAGUGUCUUUUUUAUUUUUUCUGGGAAGAUGAAGUUUUACGAGUCUUUCAUUGCAUUACUUAAUUUAAGUUUGUGGCCAAUGUCUUAUCACGUGAUGCAGUUUUUGUUACUUAUAUUUAUCUUAUGUCUAUUGAUAUGACGAUAUCUUGUGAAUGAUAUUCCUAUAUAUUUCUAAUGGCAACACAAUAUCUCUUGAUAUAAUA
rnacentral:lncRNA from 1 species